GGAGACCAUUCUCCUCUUGGGUGACAAACCUAGAACUGUUUUAGAUUUUUGAGUGAGAAAAAAAUCAAAGAAAAGAGAGACUUCAUCUAAUUUUUCUUCACUAUCCAGCAUCCUUCUCUGAUCCAUCUUUGACAUCGAAAAGGUUUGAAGUAAUCAAAGAAGGAGAUCAAGUCAGAUCUAUCAUUAGAAUCCGACUGCGC
rnacentral:lncRNA from 1 species